GGGUUGUGAGGUUAAGCGACUAAGCGUACACGGUGGAUGCCCUGGCAGUCAGAGGCGAUGAAGGACGUGCUAAUCUGCGAAAAGCGUCGGUAAGGUGAUAUGAACCGUUACAGCCGGCGAUGUCCGAAUGGGGAAACCCAGUGUGAUUCGUCACACUAUCGUUAACUGAAUACAUAGGUUAACGAGGCGAACCGGGGGAACUGAAACAUCUAAGUACCCCGAGGAAAAGAAAUCAACCGAGAUUCCCCCAGUAGCGGCGAGCGAACGGGGAGCAGCCCAGAGUCUGAAUCAGCUUGUGUGUUAGUGGAACGGUCUGGAAAGUCCGACGGUACAGGGUGAUAGUCCCGUACACCAAAAUGCACAGGCUGUGAACUCGAAGAGUAGGGCGGGACACGUGGUAUCCUGUCUGAAUAUGGGGGGACCAUCCUCCAAGGCUAAAUACUCCUGACUGACCGAUAGUGAACCAGUACCGUGAGGGAAAGGCGAAAAGAACCCCGGCGAGGGGAGUGAAAAAGAACCUGAAACCGUGUACGUACAAGCAGUGGGAGCACCUUCGGGUGUGACUGCGUACCUUUUGUAUAAUGGGUCAGCGACUUAUAUUCUGUAGCAAGGUUAACCGUAUAGGGGAGCCGCAGGGAAACCGAGUCUUAACUGGGCGUUAAGUUGCAGGGUAUAGACCCGAAACCCGGUGAUCUAGCCAUGGGCAGGUUGAAGGUUGGGUAACACUAACUGGAGGACCGAACCGACUAAUGUUGAAAAAUUAGCGGAUGACUUGUGGCUGGGGGUGAAAGGCCAAUCAAACCGGGAGAUAGCUGGUUCUCCCCGAAAGCUAUUUAGGUAGCGCCUCGUGAAUUCAUCUUCGGGGGUAGAGCACUGUUUCGGCUAGGGGGUCAUCCCGACUUACCAACCCGAUGCAAACUACGAAUACCGAAGAAUGUUAUCACGGGAGACACACGGCGGGUGCUAACGUCCGUCGUGAAGAGGGAAACAACCCAGACCGCCAGCUAAGGUCCCAAAGUCAUGGUUAAGUGGGAAACGAUGUGGGAAGGCACAGACAGCCAGGAUGUUGGCUUAGAAGCAGCCAUCAUUUAAAGAAAGCGUAAUAGCUCACUGGUCGAGUCGGCCUGCGCGGAAGAUGUAACGGGGCUAAACCAUGCACCGAAGCUGCGGCAGCGACACUAUGUGUUGUUGGGUAGGGGAGCGUUCUGUAAGCCUGCGAAGGUGACCUGUGAGGGUUGCUGGAGGUAUCAGAAGUGCGAAUGCUGACAUAAGUAACGAUAAAGCGGGUGAAAAGCCCGCUCGCCGGAAGACCAAGGGUUCCUGUCCAACGUUAAUCGGGGCAGGGUGAGUCGACCCCUAAGGCGAGGCCGAAAGGCGUAGUCGAUGGGAAACAGGUUAAUAUUCCUGUACUUGGUGUUACUGCGAAGGGGGGACGGAGAAGGCUAUGUUAGCCGGGCGACGGUUGUCCCGGUUUAAGCAUGUAGGCUGGUUAUCCAGGCAAAUCCGGAUAAUCAAGGCUGAGGUGUGAUGACGAGGCACUACGGUGCUGAAGUAACAAAUGCCCUGCUUCCAGGAAAAGCCUCUAAGCAUCAGGUAACAUUAAAUCGUACCCCAAACCGACACAGGUGGUCAGGUAGAGAAUACCAAGGCGCUUGAGAGAACUCGGGUGAAGGAACUAGGCAAAAUGGUGCCGUAACUUCGGGAGAAGGCACGCUGGUGUGUAGGUGAAGUCCCUGCGGAUGGAGCUGAGACCAGUCGAAGAUACCAGCUGGCUGCAACUGUUUAUUAAAAACACAGCACUGUGCAAACACGAAAGUGGACGUAUACGGUGUGACGCCUGCCCGGUGCCGGAAGGUUAAUUGAUGGGGUUAUCCGUAAGGAGAAGCUCUUGAUCGAAGCCCCGGUAAACGGCGGCCGUAACUAUAACGGUCCUAAGGUAGCGAAAUUCCUUGUCGGGUAAGUUCCGACCUGCACGAAUGGCGUAAUGAUGGCCAGGCUGUCUCCACCCGAGACUCAGUGAAAUUGAACUCGCUGUGAAGAUGCAGUGUACCCGCGGCAAGACGGAAAGACCCCGUGAACCUUUACUAUAGCUUGACACUGAACAUUGAGCCUUGAUGUGUAGGAUAGGUGGGAGGCUUUGAAGCGUGGACGCCAGUCUGCGUGGAGCCGACCUUGAAAUACCACCCUUUAAUGUUUGAUGUUCUAACGUUGGCCCCUUACCGGGGUUGCGGACAGUGUCUGGUGGGUAGUUUGACUGGGGCGGUCUCCUCCCAAAGCGUAACGGAGGAGCACGAAGGUUAGCUAAUCCUGGUCGGACAUCAGGAGGUUAGUGCAAUGGCAUAAGCUAGCUUGACUGCGAGCGUGACGGCGCGAGCAGGUGCGAAAGCAGGUCAUAGUGAUCCGGUGGUUCUGAAUGGAAGGGCCAUCGCUCAACGGAUAAAAGGUACUCCGGGGAUAACAGGCUGAUACCGCCCAAGAGUUCAUAUCGACGGCGGUGUUUGGCACCUCGAUGUCGGCUCAUCACAUCCUGGGGCUGAAGUAGGUCCCAAGGGUAUGGCUGUUCGCCAUUUAAAGUGGUACGCGAGCUGGGUUUAGAACGUCGUGAGACAGUUCGGUCCCUAUCUGCCGUGGGCGCUGGAGAAUUGAGGGGGGCUGCUCCUAGUACGAGAGGACCGGAGUGGACGCAUCACUGGUGUUCGGGUUGUCAUGCCAAUGGCACUGCCCGGUAGCUAAAUGCGGAAGAGAUAAGUGCUGAAAGCAUCUAAGCACGAAACUUGCCCCGAGAUGAGUUCUCCCUGAGACUUUAAGUCUCCUGAAGGAACGUUAAAGACGAUGACGUUGAUAGGCCGGGUGUGUAAGCGCAGCGAUGCGUUGAGCUAACCGGUACUAAUGAACCGUGAGGCUUAACCUUACAACGCCGAAG
rnacentral:rRNA from 1 species